CAGGAUGCCCAGUUAGAUUUUAAUUUCAGAAGAAGAAUCUGUUUUUAGCCCAGUUUUUCAUUUCGGACGAAUAAUCAAUAAUUUUUAAUGUAAGUGUUCCAGUUCCAGUUCAGUCGCUCAGUCGUGUCCAACUCCUUGCGAGUAUGGCCCGUGCAAUAUUCAGGACACAAGUAUACUCAAUAAGUAGGGGUUAUUUACCUGAAAUGUAAGCUUAACUGGGCAUCUUGUGUUUUUACCCGCUAACUCUGGCGCCCUACCCCUAACCGCUCGCGCCUCCCUCGCACCCCUCCACACUGCGAGAGCCCCGCCGAAGGCCUGCCCCCUCCGCCCUUACCGGGUGUCGCCCCGUGCGCCCCCCUUAGCUCGUGCGCCCCUCCUCUCUCCACUGUUUCUGCUGGGUGCCCUGCGUCUCGCCCCCGAGCGCCUGGUUCGCUCGCCUCUUCCCGAGCUCUCCACCCUCGCACCGCCCUCCCAGGCCCCGCUCAAGCUGUAUCACUCAAGAAGAUGAGAAGAAAAGCCACAGACUGGAAGAAAAUAUUUGCAAAAAACACAUCUGAUAAUGGACUAUUAUCCAAAACAUACAAAGAACUCUUAAAACUCAACUUGAAAACAAACAAUUGGAUUUUAAAAUGAGCCAAAGGCCUCAACAGACCCCGCACCAAAGAACUAUGGAUGGCAAAUAGUGUAUGAAGAGAUACUCCACAUCGUGUCAUUAAGGAAAUGCAAAUGAAAACAAUGAGCUACCACCACACCUCUGAAUAUUCAUCGGAAGGACUGAUACUGAAGGUGAAGUGCCAAUACUUUGGCCACCUGAUGCGAAGAACUGACUCAUUGGAAAAGACCCUGAUGCUGAGAAAGACUGAGGGCAGAAGGAGAAGGGGGUGACAGAGAAUGAAAUGCUUGGAUGGCAUCACUGACUCAAUGGACGUUAAGUUUGAGCAAACUCCAGGACGUUAAGUGACGAACAGGGAAGCCUGGCGUGCUGCAGUCCAUGGGGUCACAAACAGUCAGAUACGACUGAGCAACAGAACAACAAGACUGUGACCUGCCAGGCUCCUCUGUCCAUGGGACCACCUAGGCAAGAAUACUGGAGUGGGUUGCGGUUUCCUUCUCCAGGGGAUCUUCCUGUCUCAGGGAUAGAACCCUCAUCUCCUGCAUUGGCAGGCAGAUUCUUUAUCACUGAGCCACCAGAGAAGCCCAUAUGAUACCAUACUGAUUUCAGGCAAGAAUACUGGUGAAAGGGAAAGUCGCUCAGUCAUGUCCGACUCUUUGUGACCUCAUGGACUAUACAGUCCAUGGGAUUCUCCAGGCCAGAAUACUGGAGUGGGUAGACAUUCCCUACUCCAGGGGAUCAUCCCAACCCGGGGAUUGAACCCAGAUCUCCCACAUUGCAGGCGGAUUCUUUACCAGCUGAGCCACCAGGGAAGCCCAAGAAUACUGGAGUGGGUUGUAUUUCCUCCUCCGGGCGAUCUUCAGGACCCAGGGAUGGAACCACAUCUGCUGCAUUGCAGGUGGAUUCUCUACCUCUGAGCCAUGGGGGAAGCCCAGGCAGGAGAAGGGGACGACAGAGGAUGAGAUGGUUAGAUGGCAUCACUGACUCAAUGGACAUGAGUCUGAGCAAGCUCCAGGAGUUGGUGAUGGACAGGGAAGCCUGGUGUGCUGCAGUCCAUGGGGUCUCAAAGAGUCAGACACGACUGAGCGACUGAACUGAACUGAUGUGUCAUUAUACAUUUGUCCAAACCCAUAGAACUUAAACACCAAGAGUGAACAGUAAUGUAAACCAUGGACUUUGGGUGAUAACAGU
ensembl:lncRNA